rnacentral:piRNA from 1 species
UGUGAUAAAAUACCUAGCAGAAUCAAUUU